rnacentral:rRNA from 1 species
CCCUACGGGGGGCAGCAGUGGGGGAUAUUGCACAAUGGGGGGAACCCUGACGCAGCGACGCCGCGUGGGUGAAGGAGCGCCUCGGCGCGUAAAGCCCUGUCAGCAGGGAAGAAAAUGACGGUACCUGAAGAAGAAGCCCCGGCUAACUACGUGCCAGCAGCCGCGGUAAUACGUAGGGGGCAAGCGUCAUCCGGAUUUACUGGGUGUAAAGGGGGCGCAGACGGCGAUGCAAGCCAGGAGUGAAAGCCCGGGGCCCAACCCCGGGACUGCUCUUGGAACUGCGUGGCUGGAGUGCAGGAGGGGCA